rnacentral:misc_RNA from 1 species
CUAGCAAUGAAGGGCGUUAUGAGAGACACUAGAGUACAGACAGUAGUGCCGCUGAGUAUGGCAGAGGUAGUUCUGGUUCAAUAACAAACACAUCAUGAACAUGGUUUCGAAAAACAGCGGGAGAUGGAGUAUCAAAGAUCCAGUGAUUGCCAAAGACAUGCAUGGUGUGAUUGGAGGUAUCAGUACCCUUAUGGUGUUUCCACAUAAAGCUCACAGUGAGGCUGAGAAAGAAACUCAAUCAAAAACAGAGGGUCCUGUCAAGAUGUAUCAGGUGGAGUCCUUCUCAUGGCUUUGGAGUCGACAAGCACGAAAAUUGAUCAACGAGUCUGUGGGCACCUAUCUCUCCUUGCAAGCUGCUGUAAAAGAAGCUGAACCUGAUGAGUGUAAACCUCUAUUAGUUAAAAAAUGCAGAGAAUACAGAUCAAUGAUCCAGGCUUGUGUUGAAGAUGUAAAUAUGUCCCAGGAGUGUGAAGACCAGGAAGAAAUAAAAGCUUGUGGACAAUUACUAUACAAGAUGGAGCUCAUUCUUAGCCUCAUAGAGAUUCUCUUCAUUGACAUAAAGCCAGGUGGACUGGUAUUGGGACAGCUCGUUAUGUGGAUACGUGUGCACUUUACGCAGUGUAUUGAGAAGAAGAAUGAAGCAAUGGAAUCUGAUCACCCACACCUGCAUCCUGCAUACUGGGAGGCUGUGUAUGGAGCAGUACUUCAGGGACGUAUGGAGGGUGCUCGCCAGAUGCUAUCAAAUCACUCCAAUGCUGACACUGACCCUUUUCUCUCAAUGGAUGAACUCCUGCGGAAGAUGCCAGUCUAUCAGGUGUAUGGUGGAGUUUCAGUGGCAGAGUUUACAGUUCGCUGGCAGCAUUGGCAGAGUGAGUGUGAGCGCCGCUUGCAAGAAGGACACUUUACUACGUGUCACCAAUUACAAACUGUUUGUAAGAUACUUUGUGGAAACCAGCAAACUAUUAACAGCCUGAUUGACUUGAUGGACACAUGGUAUCAUUUGAUGGUAUCCACUUUGUUGUUUACCUGCCCAACAGUCAAGCUCUUCCGCUUGCACAAUGCUGCGCAGGAUGCUAUUACAUCCAUAGGUGGAGAACAGAGAACAACACCAUUGGAUAAUGUGUUGCUUGCUGCUAUGGAGGCUGAUACUCAUCAGGUGAUCAAAGAGUGUCAGCAGGUCCUUGACAACACUUGGUUUACUGCCCACGUCACUGACUUAUUGUGUCAUACCAUGGGACAGAAAACAGGUCAAAAGUUCUUACCAGAACUGCGUGAAUCUCUUUUGUUGGAUUAUGCAAGUGUUCUGGUGAGUCACUCCAGCUUGUGGCAAGUUGGCAUUUUGUACCUGGACCAUUGUGGGGCCUCAGGUAUUGCCAUGUCCCAAAUGGUACUGCAGAGGCUUCCCCUCACUGAUGACUCUUGUGUACACAAGAUCAUACAGAUGGCCAGUGACAGAAACUUUGACAGCAUAAUUGUCGGUGUGUGUCGUAUUAUGGGUCGUCGUGCAUUAUCUCAAGGCCGUUUAGGUUCUGCCAUCUGGUGGGGAGUACGGUCACGAGAUGCUGCCUUCACUUCCCAUCUUGCUCACCAGAUAUUACAUAAAUAUGUAGCUGAAGGCAGGUUUGAAUCCUCCCAGCUGUUGGACCACCUUGGCCCAGCAAUGCUGCUCUCGGACACACUCACUUUCUUGGGCAAAUACAGAGAAUUCCAUAUGAUGUAUCAAGAUGGUAACUUCCAAGAUGCAGCAACACUUCUUGUGUCACUUAUUUCAUCCAAGCUGGCACCUGAAUACUUUUGGCCAGUAUUACUUCUGGAUGCUCUGCCUCUAUUGAAAAGUGAGGAACCAGUGAUAUCAGCAGAACAAACAUAUGAGCUCAUGUAUUGCCUCCACAAUCUCCACAAUCACACUUGUAAAAGGUAGUGAUGUAAGGGAUGAGGCAGCAGCUGGCCACCUAAGUGUACCCUGAACAGCAAGUGAUAAUUCUCCCAUCCACACAACCAGAAUCGUCAGAAGAUGGUUCAACGAACAGCCAGACAUACAACUUCUGGAGUGGCCGAGCAAAGGGUGUGAUUCAACCCCAGUAGAAAUGUAUGAGGAAUCAUCGUUAGCUCAUGGGAGACAGACGAUAACCAAACACCACAGCAACUCCUCCAACACACGAAGGAUGAGUGGGAGGGUUUUCGCAGAAAUCGGCAACAAAUUCUGUACAGUAUACUACUGUAGCCUCCCUCCUAAACAGACUGCAUGAGGUAAUUGCUAAGAAUGGUGGGUGGACAAAGUACUAAUGUUAUAACUGGCCCUCACCCGCCCCAGAUUCACAUAUGAUGCUCCUUCCACUUAUGACCUGAUUACUAUUGUGACACUAAAUAAAGUAUAACAGAUAAAUAAGUUUAGUCUUGUGUAAUUACAUUUAUCAGUUUAAAACAAAUCAAUUUUGUCGUUGAUAUAAAGGUUUGCUUUGUAAUAAAUAUUGUAUCCAA